GUGCAGCAGGCGCGAAAACUUUACAAUGUGCGAAAGCACGAUAAGGGAACUCUGAGUGCCUCCUAAGGAGGCUGUUCAGGUGUCUAAAAAGCACCUGGAGUAAGGGCUGGGUAAGACCGGUGCCAGCCGCCGCGGUAACACCGGCAGCCCAGGUGGUAGCCACUUUUAUUGGGUCUAAAGCGUCCGUAGCCGGUUGAGUAAGUUCCUUGGGAAAUUUGGCUGCUCAACAGUCAAGCUUCCAGGGAAUACUGCUCGACUUGGGACUGGGAGAGGUCAGAGGUACUCCAGGGGUAGGGGUGAAAUCCAUUAAUCCCUGGGGGACCACCGGUAGCGAAGGCGUCUGACCAGACCAGGUCCGACGGUGAGGGACGAAGGCUAGGGUCGCGAACCGGAUUAGAUACCCCUGUAGU
rnacentral:rRNA from 1 species